rnacentral:rRNA from 1 species
CGAUGGCCGGCGCUUGCUUGUCUUGCGUCGUGUUCUGACGGAUGCUUUUAUUAGACCAAGCCGCUGAGGACUUGAGCUCUCUGUGUUUUCUCCCCACUUAUGUGGGGGUGUCUUCGCAAGCUCCUGUUCGACUCGUGUGAUGGUGACUCUGGAUAACCAAAAUUCUGACAAGCGCACGUACCCCUCUUCUGAGCGGGACGGCGCUGCCACUUUCGAGUGUCUGCCUUAUCAGCUAUCAACCGUUCGUUAUGCGCGACCGAUGGCUUUGACGGGUAACGGGGAAUCAGGGUUCGAUUCCGGAGAGGCAGCCUGAGAGACGGCUACCACGUCCAAGGACGGCAGCAGGCACGCAAAUUACCCAAUCCCAGCAAAUGGGGGAGGUAGUGACGAAAUCUAACGAUGCGGGCGCCCUUUCUGGGGCCCCGCAAUCGGAAUGGGCACUUUCUAAACAACCUGUUGAGAACCUACUGAAGGGCAAGUCUGGUGCCAGCAGCCGCGGUAAUUCCAGCUUCAGCAGCAUCUAUUAAAGUUGCUGCGGUUAAAAGGCUCGCAGUUGAAUGUCUGUAUCGAGCGCAGGUCAGGUGGACGUUGGGGCGUGGAAGCACGGGCGGUUGGAUGUUGCUGAACGCUCGGUGUUCGCGCCGGGCUUUUCUCUCUCCUUCUGCUUUUCCACAAACCCCCGUCCGUGACAAGCCUCCUCGCUCGGGUACAUAACGGGAAUCGGUCAAACGGAGUGUGGAAGUGAGAGAUGGCGGUGUUCGUUCUGGGAGAGAUUGCUGGUUCGAUGGAGUGUGUGAGGGGUUGCAGUAUCUCUGUUGUCCUCUUAUCAUCUUUGUCUCUCUGGUGCUUUUCUCGGUGGCGGCCGCUUUUUUUCUCGACCACGUUAAGCUCCAUCGGUUUCACAGUCACCUUGAGUAAAUCAGAGUGCUCAAAGCAGUCGUAGGGGCCUUGCGCCCUGUGAACAGUCUUGACGGACUGACUUGGUUUUGCAUGGCAUGUCGAAAGACGACGUCGUGUGCUGGCUCAGAGGAUAAAUCAGUGGUACAAGCCAGCCUCGACGUAAUGAUUAAAAGGGACGGUCGAGGGCAUUGGUAUUGCGAGGCGAGAGGUGAAAUUCUGUGACCCCCGCAAGACCUCCUGAAGCGAAAGCGUCUGCCAAGGACGUUUUCAUUAAUCAUGAACGAAAGUUAGAGGAUCGAAGGCGAUCAGAUACCGCCCUAGUUCUAACCCUAAACGAUGCCAACCAUCAAUCCGCGCGUAGCACCCUUCUUAACGGGCUCGGCGGGCAGCUCCCCACUCACGGGAAACCAGAGCCUCUGGGUUCCGGGGGGAGUCUGGUUGCAAAGCUGAAACUUAAAGGAAUUGACGGAAAGGCACCACCAGGCGUGGAGCCUGCGGCUUAAUUUGACUCAACACGGGCCAUCUCACCAGGCCAGCACUCUUGUACGAUUGACAGAUUGAGAGCUCUUUCUCGAUUCAGUGGAUGGUGGUGCAUGGCCGUUCUUAGUUGGUGGAGUGAUCUGUCUGGUUAAUUCCGAUAACGAACGAGACUCUCCCCUGCUAACUAGUCGGUUGGAUCUUGAUCUACCGGGUUGCGUGCCGAGUAACUCUCGCUGUGUGUGGGGCAUGUGUGUGUGUGUGUGCAUGCGCGCGCGUGCGCUCGCUGCUUCUGUGGCGUGUGCCGUGUGUGUGUGUGUGCGCGCAUGUGUGUGUUUCCGCACGCGGUGUUGGAUGCCUUGGAUCACACUGCACCCCAAGUCCGCCGCUUAUGCUAUAACUCUUCUUAGAGGGAUUCACGGCACUGAAGCCGUAAGAGACUGAGAGCAAUAACAGGUCUGUGAUGCCCUUAGAUGCUCUGGGCCGCACGCGCGCUACAAUGCCGGGCACAGCAGGUGUUUCUCCUGCUCCGACAGGAGCGGGUAACCCUCUGAAAGCCAGUGUUCUUUUGCAAGUGCAAUCUCCCUCGUGGAGUUGCACAGAGGCGUGCUUGGGCCUGGGACUUGCAAUUCUUUCCCACCAACGAGGAAUGCCUAGUAGCGGCGGGUCACUGAGCCCG